AGUUAAUGAACUUGAAUAAGUAUAUAUUUUGAAAAUAUAAUAAAGAAGAUUUAACCUUCUAUUAACUU
rnacentral:tRNA from 1 species